CCUACGGGAGGCAGCAGUGAGGAAUAUUGGUCAAUGGGCGAGAGCCUGAACCAGCCAAGUCGCGUGAGGGAGUACUGCCCUAUGGGUUGUAAACCUCUUUUGUCGGGGAGCAAAAGCCGGACGUGUCCGGCUGUGAGAGUACCCGAAGAAAAAGCAUCGGCUAACUCCGUGCCAGCAGCCGCGGUAAUACGGAGGAUGCGAGCGUUAUCCGGAGUUAUUGGGGUUAAAGGGUGCGCAGGCGGAUUUUUAAGUCAGCGGUCAAAUCGUGGGGCUCAACCCCAUCCAGCCGUUGAAACUGGGGAUCUAGAGUGUGCGAGAGGUAUGCGGAAUGCGUGGUGUAGCGGUGAAAUGCAUAGAUAUCACGCAGAACCCCGAUUGCGAAGGCAGCAUACCGGUGCACAACUGACGCUCAGGCACGAAAGCGUGGGUAUCGAACAGGAUUAGAUACCCCAGUAGUC
rnacentral:rRNA from 1 species